rnacentral:piRNA from 1 species
UGAUGUCCUUGACCAAGAAAAUGAAG